rnacentral:pre_miRNA from 1 species
GGCAGUCUUUGCUACUGUAAACAUCCUUGACUGGAAGCUGUAAGGUGUUGAGAGGAGCUUUCAGUCGGAUGUUUACAGCGGCAGGCUGCC